CAAGUCGUACGGUAAGCUUCGGCUUAUAGUGGCGAGAGGGAGAGUAACGCGUGGUUACAUGCCCUCGGGACCGGGAUAGCGGCGGGAAACUGCCGGUAAUACCGGAUAAUAUCUUUGGAUCAAAGGUGUGAUUCCGCCCGAGGAUUGGAUCGCGUUCUAUUAGCUUGUUGGCGGGGUAAUGGCCCACCAAGGCGACGAUGGAUACCGGGUGUGAGAGCAUGGCCCGGCUCACUGGGACUGAGACACUGCCCAGACACCUACGGGUGGCUGCAGUCGAGAAUCUUCGGCAAUGGGGGCAACCCUGACCGAGCGACGCCGCGUGCGGGACGAAGGCCUUCGGGUUGUAAACCGCUGUCAGUUGGGAGGAAGUGCCGGGGGGUUCUCCCCUCGGUUUGACCGAUCUUCAGAGGAAGGACGGGCUAAGUUCGUGCCAGCAGCCGCGGUAAGACGAACCGUCCAAACGUUAUUCGGUAUCACUGGGCUUAAAGCGUGCGUAGGCGGCCUGGUAGGUGAGGUGUGAAAGCCCACGGCUCAACCGUGGAAUUGCGCUUCAAACCACCAGGCUGGAGGAUGGCAGGGGUGAUGGGAACUGAUGGUGGAGCGGUGAAAUGCGUUGAUAUCAUCAGGAACACCGGUGGCGAAGGCGCAUCACUGGGCCAUUUCUGACGCUGAGGCACGAAAGCUAGGGUAGCGAACGGGAUUAGAUACCCCGGUAGUCCUAGCUGUAAACGAUGAGCACUGGGUUGAGGGGGCCUCCACAUCUUCUCGGCCGUAGCGAAAGCGUUAAGUGCUCCGCCUGGGGAGUAUGGCCGCAAGGCUGAAACUCAAAGGAAUUGACGG
rnacentral:rRNA from 1 species